rnacentral:rRNA from 1 species
UACGUAGGUGGCUAGCGUUGUCCGGAUUUACUGGGCGUAAAGAGCGCGCAGGCGGUCGUUUCAAGUCGAGUGUGAAAGCCCCCGGCUCAACUGGGGAGGGUCACUCGAUACUGAUCGACUCGAAGGCAGGAGAGGGAAGCGGAAUUCCCGGUGUAGUGGUGAAAUGCGUAGAUAUCGGGAGGAACACCAGUGGCGAAGGCGCUUUCUGGCCUGUUCUUGACGCUGAGGCGCGAAAGCUAGGGUAGCAAACGG